CACAACACUAAUCCCAACACUUUGGGAAGGCCUAGGUGGGUGGAUUGCUUGGGCCCAGGAGUUUGAGACCAGCCUGGGCCACACGGUGAAACCCCGUCUCUACAGAGAAUAUGAAAAUUAGCCUGGCGUGGUGGUGUACGCCUGUAGUCUCACGUACUUGGGAGGCUGAGGUGGGAGGAUCACUAGAACUCAGGCGGCGGAAGCUUCAGUGAACCGUGAUCAUGUCACUGUACUACAACCUGGACAACAGAGCAAGCACCUGUCUCAAAUUAAUAAAUAAUGAAAGGCCAGGGCCUCUGCUAUGGAUUUUUCUGUGCAUUUGAGAGCUGGGGACAAUUCACGAGUGCGAGAGCAGAGCGCUCCACCUGCGGGCGUGGCUGGCCACAAUGAUGGGAAAGCACGUUAGUAAUGGGCCACCGCGGCUGACCCUCGACCUCAUCGACCGCUGCCCCUCUCACCAGCCAAGUUCUGCUGUCCAGGCAGCUGCAAAGGAGUUUAAAGGGCAGCCAUCGUCCUUGGUCAGCCAGCCUCCCAUUAAUAACGUUUGCAUCUGUGACAAUGACAAACCUGCAGUACUUGAGGAGAGUUUAUUAAGGGGCUGUGAAGAGGCUUUGUUACAAAUUAUUAAAUUCAGCAUAAUCAGAACUGGACCAAGAAAACACAAACCUUGCGUAAAAGCAACAAAAUGA
rnacentral:lncRNA from 13 species